GUGCUGCACUCAUAAACCUGACCUCCAGGCAGAAAAAGUCCUUUGUGAAAGUAUGAGAGGCUCCUGACCCAGCACUACCCAGAAGAGCACGAGCUGAGAGUGUUCUGAAAAGGCGGUGCUUGAACAACUCUUUGGGAAGCGGCUCUGCAGAGGAAACCAUAAAGAUGACGGUGCUCUAUACCUGUAAGAUGACCAGAGUAUACUUUCCAGAGCACUUCCAAAUUGCACAUGAUUCCUCCAUAGCUCAGUCAAGUAGCCGGGACAGAUCUUAUCUCCACUUUUCACUAACAAAAACGAGGGCCAAGGAGAUUAUGUGACUUGCCAAAAAUCAAAACGUGAGUACAUGGCACAGGACCCAGGCCCAAACCAGUGAGAUUAAUCUACCACCCUGUUGGCUGACGUUUCACGUGUAUCUGGUUUGUUUGUUGUUUUGUUGCUGUUGUUUUUAAGAUAUGGGUUAUCUCUUUGUCGCUCAGGCUAAAGUGCAGUGGUGAGUUCCUGGCUCACCGUGGCCUCGAACUCCUGGGCUCAAUUGAUCCUCCUGCCUCAGCCUCCCAAGUAGCUGAGAUUAUUGGCAGGAGCUGAGAUUAUUGGCUGUAUGUGGUUUCAAAACAGUUGAUGCUGCUGAUGGGGAAAGAAACCCUCAAGUGGGCUCUGUCUCCCUCACCACUUACCCUGGCAAUAAGAGGAACCUAGUCAAGCAAAAUUAAGCCCUGUCACCAAAUUCCAUUUCUAAUUUAAUCAAUUUUUAAAUUUCUAAGAUUUGGCCAUAUUGUUGUAUUUCACUGUAGUUCGCCCAUUUUCACUGCUGUAUCAUAUAUUCAGCACAUGAAUAUAUCUCAGUUUAUCCAAUUCCAACUUUGAUGGCUCAUUUGGGUUGUUUUUCAGUUCUGCUAUUAUGGACUGUGCUACUAUAAACAUGUUUGAAUAUGUAUCCUGACUAAAGCUUGUAAUUAGGAGUGGCUGGAAUUGCUAGUGACAGAGCAUAUGAACAAUCAACUGUUUGAGACAAUGCCAAAUUAUUUUCCAAAAUGGUUAUACCAAUUUACACUCCCACCAGCAACGUACGUGGUUUUUUUUUUUUUUUUUUUUAGACGGAGUCUCACUCUGUCACCAGGCUGGAGUGCAGUGGCACGAUCUUGGCUCAAUGCAAGCUCCGCCUCCUGGGUCCAAGCAAUUCUCCUGCCUCAGCCUCCCAGGUAGCUGGGACUAUAGGUGUGAGCCACCAUGCCUGGCUAAGUUUUGUAUUUUUUUGUAGAGAUGGGGUUUUGCCAUGUUGCCCAGCUGGUCUUGAACUCCUGACCUCAAGUGACCCACCCAGCUUGGCCUCCCAAAGUGCUAACAUUACAGGCAUGAGCCACUGUGCCCGGCCACAUGUGUUCUUAUUAAUUUAUCUUUUCCCCAACACUUGGUAUUUUCAGAUUUCUUAAUUUUUGCCAGUCUCAUGGAUUUGAUUUACAUUUCCCUGAUUACUAAUGAAGAUGAGGAUCUUUUCAUAUAUUUAUCAGUCAUGUGAGCGUUCUCCAAGGUGAAAAUGCCUCUUCCUGUCUCUUGACCAUUUUCCUGUUGUUUCAGUGCAGGAUUUCCCCAAAGUAGGCCCCACGGAACUCUGAUUCUGCCAGUUGGAUGGAAAAAGUUUCCAUGUCCAGUGAAGUUAGGAAAUGCAGCACACUCUCUCAUGGAGGAUCACAAGGUGUACGUCCAUAUUAAAGGCACUGAGAAAUUCUGUAGUAAGAAAACUUACUGUGUUUAACCCAGCAUUUCCCAAAGAGAUCUGUCUAGGGAACCUUUUGUGCCUAACAUCUGUUAAAUUUUGGGAAAGAUAAUUGGGAAAGGCUGUUUUAAAUAAAACAUAUGCUACAAUGCAAAGAGCAUAGGCUUAUGGGCCACAUAGAGGCAGAAUUUGAACUCAGGUCUAUUACUGGUUCUGUGACCCUGGGCAAGUCACUCUGAUCUCUUGGGAUCUCCAUUAUAUCAGCAGCUGAAUAAUUUCCAUCUCAUAGUGUUGUAUCUAUUAGAUGAGAUAAAAUAUGUUAAGAGCUUAGUGCUACCUGGUGUAUAAAAGACAUUCAAUACAUGUGAAUCCUAUUCUCCUCCUCCUUCUAUUGCUCUCUACUUUUUGGUGACUCUCCUGUUGAACAAAUAAAAUGGAAAAGAGAAAAUGGAGGAAACAGAAUCCUAAGCAGUCCUCUCAAGUGGCUAAGACUACAGGCAUGUGCCACCACGCCUAGCUAAUUUUUGUAUUUUUUGUAGAGAUGAGGUCUCCCUAUGUUGCUCAGGCUGGUCUCAAACUCCUGGGCUCAAGCGAUUCUCUUGCCUCGGCCUCCCAAAGUACUGGGAUUACAGGCUUGAGCCACUGCACCCUGCUGACUCUAGCUUUUUGAAACGAUCUCAUCUUCAGAAUCAUCUUAAGAUGUUAAGAUACUGGUUACCACAUGCCAGGUACCUCACCAAGGUGAGAGAGAUACACAACCAGGAGGCAAAAAUGGAGCAGCAAUUUGAGCAAAAAGCCUCAAGCAAGAGUUCUGAAAUGACAACUCUCCAUCGGUUUAGAAUUCACAACGCUCAUUUGGUCUUGAAGUGUCUCAUUUUCUCAACCUUAUAUACGCCUAACUCCUGCACAUAUUCUUGCUCUGCAGAUUCUGUUUUCUUAAGUAUUAAUCUAUUCCUUAAUAAAAUCAAUGUUAACAGUU
rnacentral:lncRNA from 10 species